CUCGAGAUCCAUCGAUUAUACAAAACAGGCCGCAUUAUGGAAAAUGGUUCAAUUUCAGUAAUAACUCCGGAAAAAUAUAACCCUUCGCACUCCACUAAUUCCAAUAUGCAAACCAAUAUUCAGACAUCAAGCUGCAUCAUCAACCCUUUAAUUAAACAGAUGCGAGCUGUGAACCAUGCAGCCUAUGCAAUUCUGCUGGCAACAGGACCAAUCUUUCUUAUCACGUACAGCGUCCUCUGGUCUCAAAUUCAAUCACGCGUAAAUCUCCUGCAGACUGGAAAUUUGUGGACCUUCAUCUUGUUCAUAAUAACCUGCGUCAUCGUAAUCCUCGUAGCACUGAGAAUGGUUUUUCGCCAUCAUGCAAAAUUCCCUCUAAGAUGGAAGCAUGUAGUUGGGUACGACAUAUUGCUCAUCAUAUGUUGGGGUGCACUAUUCCUGGUGGUCAUUGGAGCUAUGGAACAAGUUCAAGAUCGUGACUUGUGCAAUAAAGAUGGUGCCAAGUGCUCGAAACGCCACGCCCCAAGAGUUCCAACCAAAUUCGGGAUUUACGUGGCUGGUGUUUGUGGAAAAAACUUGACCGAGUCCGACUUGGAGUCUGCCCCAGUGAUGUUUUCUCCGUACGUGAAGGAGCCUGCCAAGUGCGAAGCAACCCAUGUCCUGAAGCUGGAAAUUUACUGUAUGUACAUUUGGUCAGGGGAACUUUUCAUCCUCUCAGUCCUCGAUGUAAUUUUUGGCCUUGGAAGUUGGAGGAGGAGAAAUGUUCCGGAAUACUUGUACACUUAAAAUGCAUACCCACAUUAUUUUGCGCAUUUUAUUACGAACAUCAUAGAAACAUGACAUCUUGCAUAACGAACUCUCUCAGAUACAUAUAUUGUGGGCAUAUGAACGUACAUUGCACUUCACUUUGAGAGCUGAUUACCACAUUAUUAGUAGUUGGCUUUCUGUAUAAAUUAGGGCAGGAAUAAUUGGUACUUUUUAAACUACUUUUCCCGUAAAGCUGGUCUGACGCUAUACAUACAUGGUACAUCCGCACGUAUAGACACCUAACCUGUAAUUGGUCAUGUUAUUAUGAAUAAAAUCGAUAUUGGGUAGAAAUUAUUCUUCCAAGAAAAAAGUAAUGGUUCUCAUGUUAAUGGAGGUGGCUCUCAAUAAUUCUUCCCCAUAAUAUUUGUAAUGCACAAUAUUUGUUUUAAACAUUCCUUCAUUUUUCACUAGCAUUCGUUGCCACUUGAAAGAGAGUACAAAUACAUAUUUCAAAAUGCACAUUUAAAAAUUGCUUUGGGAUAACAAUAUGAAUUGCUAAAUUCGUCUUGUGCUUAACUUUGUCCCCAAUACAUCUGCAGGACAAUGGAAUUAAUUAUUAUUCCCGUGAAGGAUGCGUUUACAUAUUACGAAGGCCAGCUUCACGGGGAAACUGCUAAAAAACAAAAUUUUUCUCAUCUUUGGAAAACAUUCAACCUAAUCACAUUCAUAAUUCUACUGCUUACAGCACCUAUUUUCUUGGUUGCGUACACCGUUGUCUGGAUACGGCUGAAAAUGAUACUGGACUUUUCGGAAACAGAUAACGAUUGGACGUUUAUCAUACUCAUUGUUACCUGCCUAAUCACAAUUGGAAUUGGACUAGCAAUCUUAGUUCUGCACAAAUGCACAACAUACAAACUAUCCUGGAGACAUACAAUAUGGUUUGACCUAAUUUUGCUGCUGUGUUGGAUUGAAAUGCUACUCGUUGCAUUUGGUGCCCAAGAGGAAUCUGUAAACAGGGACAAGUGUCUAGAGUUAAGUCUGAAAUGUACAAAAUCAUUUGUACCGAAAGUUCCUACAAAAUUCGGGAUUUACAUGGCGACUGUGUGUGGGACUUCGAAUACGACACAAAAUAUUGACGAGGAUAAAUGUACAGCCUCCCGAACUUUACAAACAUCCAUUUAUUUCAUGUAUAUUUGGACGUUUGACAUGUUUUUGGUGUCAUUGUUAAGGAUUUGCAUUGGAUCAUACUUCUGGAUGAACAAUGAUGGCAACAAGAAAAAUAGAAAAUCAUGUGAGUUUGAUUAAUUUCGAAAUAAAUAAUUACCAUUGUACAGUACAAUUUGUACUAAUGAUUUGCUUAAAGUCUAAAAAAAUCAACCUAGAUAUAAUUUACAUGUGUAUUUAUGUACGUCCGGAAUGGAAAAGACAUAAACAAGUAGCGAGCUUACAAGGGACACUCACGACCUGUCGUUUGAGUCCAGGGUACCCACUAUGUUUUUUAGAAUCUA